GCAGGGGUAGCAAAGCUUGGUCAAAUGUGCCAGAUUCAGGGUCUGGUCCCCUAGCGGGUUCAAGGGUUCAAAUCCCUUCCCCUGCA
rnacentral:tRNA from 5 species